CCCUUAGAUGUCCGGGGCUGCACGCGCGCUACACUGAAGGAAUCAGCGUGCUAAAACCAUUGUCGAAAGGCAUUGGUAAACCCAUUAAAAUCCUACGUGAUUGGGAUCGGGAAUUGCAAUUAUUUCCCUUGAACGAGGAAUUCCCAGUAAGUGUGGGUCAUAAGCUAGCGUUGAUUACGUCCCUGCCCUUUGUACACACCGCCCGUCGCUGCCCGGGACUGAGCCGUUUCGAGAAAAGCGGGGACUGCUGCUGUCGGGGCUUUCGGGCCUUGGCUUCGGUGGAAACCGCUUUAAUCGCAGUGGCUUGAACCGGGCAAAAGUCGUAACA
rnacentral:rRNA from 1 species